ACUCAAGUCUCACUUCCUGAGUGUUAAUUGCACUGGCUUCAAAAGCAUCUGGCAGGGCUUGCCUUGGAUGACUGAUGGAGUCCAUCUCCUGGAGCUGGGGGGCCUGGGGAACUGCCACCACUCUCCCCCCUGAAUACAGCUCAGCAGAACCAGCUGGGACACAGCUGCAUCCCAGCUGUCAGCCUUGAUUUCCUAUGGCUACACUAAAAACAAUCACCCCAGCUCGAUCACAUGACAAAUCAAUCUAAACUGCUAUGGGUAGGACUCACUAAACAUUAGAAAUUAAAAUGUGCCAAGAAUUCAGAAAGACUAUUGGCAUAAAGAAUUAUAUUUGUGGCUGUGGCAUCAUGCAUCCCAUAUGCACACCUCAUCUGAGUGUUACAUAGACCAAAGGCUGAUCAUGUUUUGCGGAGAGGCAUAAAUAGUAUGUUGGCCAAUUGAAGAAAGCGAGAAAUCUAUGGUUAAAAACUAUAUUGACAUAAAUGCCAUUAACGGCAAGUAAUUAUCAUAUCAACACUCAGAAAAACGCUUUCCUCACAGCUCACCAGACCACAUGCUCUCAAGAGCAGGGGACAUAGUUCACCAGUUUUUCUGACAUCAGUCCUAGCACAUAGCAGGUGCUCAAUAAAUACUUUCUGAAGGAAUGAGAAAGGAAACUGGGGCAGCAUAUAUACGGUCAGUUAUACAAACAGUUAAAUCUCCCCUAAAUAGGUAACAAUUUAUCCAGAGAAUGGGACAAUUCUCCGUGUGAUCCAGAGAAAGCAAGGGGCAGAAUAUUCCUAGUUUCCACAGCCUAUCCCUUCAAGCACUCAUAGAAUGAGUGCUCAAGAACAUUCUGAUCCAAAAGAAGAAUAUUUUUGGUAUCUGGAGCUGAAGCAGGAGAAAAAGGAAGAAAGCAUUCAGAGGAGUUAACAGAAGCAGUUUCAGAACUAAGAAGCAAGUGUUCUCACCAAUAAAAUCACUGGUGAGCUCGCAGCUUACUUUCAACAAUGCCAAGUGCUUCGGGAAAUGUCUUCAGACAGGUGGGGAACUUGCUGGUGCCUCUACACUGCUGCCUGCCUCACUUGCUUUGCAGAAGUUAUCCUGCCUAGGAGUUGCCAUGUGACCAUCAGAGCCCAUUUACUCAUUCACAUCGAUUAUAUGUAAAUUAUAAGAGGUAACUGGGGAAAAUAAUCAAGAUGGACUUAUUUUCCUAGCACUUUUCAGAGAAAAUGUUGAGUCUCAAGUAGGGACCCCUGCCUGUCAGAGUGGCUGUCAAAAAGAACACACAUAACAAAUGUUGGUGAAGACAGGAGAAAAGGGAAUCCUUGUCCACCACUGGUGGGAAUGUAAACUGGUGCAGCCACUGUGGAAAAGAGUGUGGAAGUUUCUCAAAAAAACUAAAGACAGAUGCACCCCAAUGUUCACAGCAACAUUAUUUACAAUUGCCAAGAUAUGGAAAUACCUAAGUGUCCACUGACAAAUAAUUGGAUUAGAAAGAUGUGGAUGCAAUACGACUCAGCCAUAAAAAGGAAUGAAAUUUUGCCAUUUGCAACAACAAGGAUGGACUUGGAGGGCAUUAUGCUAAGUGAAUUAACUCAGAGAAAGAAAUACUGGAUGACAUCAUUUCUACGUGGAAUCCAAAAAAUACAACAAACUAGUGAAUAUAACAAAAAGAAAUAGACUCACAGAUAUAGAGAACAAAUUAAUGAUUACCAGUGGGGAGAGGGAAGGGGGAAAGGCAAGAUAGGGGUAGAGGAGUGAGAGGAACAAACUAUUAUGUAUAAAAUAAGGUACAUAGGUAUAUUGUACAACACAGAUACUAUAGCCUAUAUUUUACAAUAGAUAUAAAUGGUGCAUAAACUUUAAAAACUGUGAAUCACUAUACUGUAUACCUGUAACAUAAAAUAUUGUAUAUCAACUAUACUUCAAUUAAAUAAAUAACGUGGUGAGUACUGAGAUUUUGUUCUUAUUUCCAAAUGUGGCUUUAUAAAUGGCAAACUAUGGGAUCUCCAGCAUGUUCUUGUGACUCAAUCUGAAAACACAUCCAUGUACUUAGCUGGAGAGACCAGAUAUGGGACCAUUUGCUGGUCUUCUAGAGACCUGGGUUCAGAUUCUCCAGAAGGGGUAACAGGAUCUACCCUGUGAUAAGGUGGGUAAACACGGAAGGAGGGCUACAGAUGUAUACAGCGUGAGUCAAGUGACUCCUUAACCUCAGCCAAGGGAGAGGUUGUGGACCUGUAUCCUGAAUGAUAGAAAAUAAAGAAGGUGCUGAGGGGAUAGCAAGCAGGAUCUCAAAAGAAAGCAACUGAGACCUCAGUGAAUCAUGAAAGGCCAUUGAUAAAUGGAGUUGAAAACAUAAAAAUUCCAUCUUGGGAGAGGCUCAAGAAACCAAGGCCGUAAGAGUGCAACAUUUAACUAGGAUUCCUACUGCUAACUGAAUGUCCUGUAGGAGCUUAUGCUGUGGAUAGGUUAUGCUUCAACAGUAAAACUCCACGGCCUUUUUAAAAAUGCCUUUAAAGGCAGUUCCACGUGGAGGGCUCAGCAGAGAUCCUACUGUGAGCUACCAUCUAGCUUCAGAGUCAGAAGACAGCAGAGUGAAGCUUUUCAGCAGUAACGGGGGUUUUAGGUAGGCAAAAUAAAGGAACACACACCCAAACAAAGGGGGUCUUGGGGGGCAGGGAGGAGCAUCACACAGGUAACCUAACUUGAAUGCUUGGAAAGUACAAAGUAAAAUCAUGAAUCAAAGGCCUAUGAACAUCACAGGUCUUAUCACCUCCCAUGCUCUGAGUAUGGCAUGGGAGGUAAUGGCUCCUUUCUUGCCAUUUCAGGAGACCGUGGCAGCCCCUCUGGCAGCCUGCCCAGGGUGGUCUUUCCCCUUUGGCAUGUUGGCAGGAACAGAGAGGGACUGGGUAAAGGGAAGUGGUUUGGUGAACAAUGCUAGAUUUGCAGUUUAACCAAAACCAAAGUACUCAGAAUGGCAUUGUCGUGGCGUUGUACUGUAUUUACUUCCCAGAAAAGAAAGAACUGCCACACAUUUGAUAUGUGAAAAGAAGCCUUGAAAGCAGACACCUACUCACCAAGAGCAAAUAAUAAUUUAAGAUGAAUGAACGGAAAAGACAUGCAACAGCACGACCACAUGAGAGCUUUUGUGUAUGUAAAUUUGCUUGCUUUUCAAACCAGUGAUAUCCUGUUUCUGAAAACUUAUUCCUAGCCUCUAUUCUACUCUAAUAGAACCCCAUCAGUUUCUGACAGCUCCUUCCCUAACAGCUGUCUUUCAUUUAAUUUCAUUUAGUGUGCAAACCGUUUCAAGUUGCAUGCACAAGCAUACUGUGAAGAAUUCAUUUUCUCUAGUUUCCUGGCGACGAUAAAAGAAUUUAAUAAUAAAAAAAAGUUGAACUUUGGCCUGAAAUGUUGCUGUCCUGCCGAAAUGGUGAAUUAUACAAGUGGAAGUGAUCCAAAGGUUAUUUGGCCCACCCCCUACCAUGCCAAAGAGCCUAAACAGAUCCUUUCAUGUAAUUAUCUUACUUGUCCUUUUCAAAUCUUGUAGGAAGACUUCUACAUUCUCACUAAAUACAUUUGGUCCAGACCUUGAUAAUUUGAAGAAUGAACUUCCCUGGGGAUAAGCACACGUGGGGUGAGGGCGGGAGGUUGGGGGAGGAUUUACAGCUCACGAACUGGAACAAGUCAGAAUAUAGAAUUAAAAAAACAAGUAUGAUCCUAGAAUGUAUAUACAGGAGAAGAUCGGGAAAGACCUUUUGUAAAGGAAGCUCAGGUCUUGAAGGAAAGGGACAUGAUAUGGCAUAAUAGUUUAAAUCAUGAGCUUUAGAGUUUAAUAGCCAAUGGAUUCAAAACCAAUGCUAUUCUAAGCCAGUUCUCUUAUCUUCAAAAUGGGUGUUAACUACAACAUUUAUUGAGUUCUUGCUAUAUUUCAAACACUAUUCUAAGUGCUUUACAUUUGUUAACUUACAGAGAAAUGCUUAUAUUACAGAACUGUAUAGAUUAAAUAAAACAAUGUACUGAAAGUGCCUAGCAAAAUUCGUGUGUUCAAUAAAUGGUAAUAAUUCUUACUUUUGCUCAUGAAGACCUAAAUCGAACAUCAACAAGAUGUUGGCAUACCAAGUCCUAAAAAGAAAUUAAAAUAAGCAAUGCCGCCUUGCUCCCUCCUCACUUUCCCUCCAUCCAAUGUGAGGAGGCAGCUGAGAAAAAGGAAAUUCAGUUUUGUCCUUUAACCAAAGUGAUAAUGGUAAAAAGAGGGGAUUAUGGAGUAGUAUGAA
rnacentral:lncRNA from 1 species